AUCAUACUCCCUCCGUCCCAAAGUUCUUGUCUUAGAUUUGUCUAGAUAUGGAUGUAUCUAAUACUAAAACAUGACUUGAUAUAUCCGUAUUUAGACAAAUCUAAGACAAGAAUUUUGGGACGGAGGGAGUAUGAU
rnacentral:pre_miRNA from 1 species